rnacentral:rRNA from 1 species
UACGUAGGUGGCAAGCGUUGUCCGGAUUUACUGGGCGUAAAGAGCGCGCAGGCGGUCGUUCAAAGUCGCGUGUGAAAGCCCCCGGCUCAACUGGGGAGGGUCACGCGAUACUGAUCGACUGGAAGGCAGGAGAGGGUAGUGGAAUUCCCGGUGUAGUGGUGAAAUGCGUAGAUAUCGGGAGGAACACCAGUGGCGAAGGCGACUACCUGGCCUGUUCUUGACGCUGAGGCGCGAAAGCUAGGGGAGCAAACGGGG